rnacentral:ncRNA from 1 species
CUAUGGCAUGUAAGCCAUGGCGGAAGGAG